rnacentral:rRNA from 1 species
UACAGAGGGGGCGAGCGUUGUUCGGAAUUACUGGGCGUAAAGGGCGCGUAGGCGGCCCGCUAAGUCGAACGUGAAAUCCCCAGGCUCAACCUGGGAACUGCGUCCGAUACUGGCAGGCUUGAAUCCGGGAGAGGGAUGUGGAAUUCCAGGUGUAGCGGUGAAAUGCGUAGAUAUCUGGAGGAACACCGGUGGCGAAGGCGGCAUCCUGGACCGGUAUUGACGCUGAGGCGCGAAAGCUAGGGGAGCGAACAGG